UACGGGGGGAGCAAGCGUUGUUCGGAUUUACUGGGCGUAAAGGGCGCGUAGGCGGCGUGACAAGUCACUUGUGAAAUCUCCGGGCUUAACUCGGAACGGUCAAGUGAUACUGUCGUGCUAGAGUACAGAAGGGGCAACUGGAAUUCUCGGUGUAGCGGUGAAAUGCGUAGAUAUCGGGAGGAACACCGGUGGCGAAGGCGGCCCCCUGGUUGGAUACUGACGCUGAGACGCGAAAGCGUGGGGAGCAAACAGG
rnacentral:rRNA from 1 species